rnacentral:rRNA from 2 species
GGUGUAGCGGUGAAAUGCGUAGAGAUCUGGAGGAAUACCGGUGGCGAAGGCGGCCCCCUGGACAAAGACUGACGCUCAGGUGCGAAAGCGUGGGGAGCAAACAGGAUUAGAUACCCUGGUAGUCCACGCCGUAAACGAUGUCUACUUGGAGGUUGUGCCCUUGAGGCGUGGCUUCCGGAGCUAACGCGUUAAGUAGACCGCCUGGGGAGUACGGCCGCAAGGUUAAAACUCAAAUGAAUUGACGGGGGCCCGCACAAGCGGUGGAGCAUGUGGUUUAAUUCGAUGCAACGCGAAGAACCUUAC